rnacentral:rRNA from 1 species
GAUGAACGCUGGCGGCGUGCCUAACACAUGCAAGUCGAGCGAACGGACGAUAAGCUUGUUUCUUUGAUGUUAGCGGCGGACGGGUGAGUAACACGUGGAUCACCUACUUAUAUGUCUGGGAUAAUUACGGGAAACCGGAGCUAAUACCGGAUGAUAUUUUGAACCGCAUGGUGCAAAAGUGAAUGACGGUCUUGGUGUCUCUUAUAGCUGGAUCCGCGCUGUAUUAGCUAGUUGGUAGGGUAACGGCUUACCAAGGCAACGAUGCAUAGCCGACCUGAGAGGGUGAUCGGCCACACUGGAACUGAGACGCGGUCCAGACUCCUACGGGAGGCAGCAGUAGGAAAUCUGCCGCAAUGGGCGAAAGCCUGACGGAGCAACGCGGCGGGAGUGAGGAAGGUCUUGGGUUCGUAAAACUCUGUUAUUAGGGAAAAACAUAUGUGUAAGUAACCGUGCAGAUCUUGACGGUACCUAAGCAGAAAGCCCCGGCUAACUACGU